UACGUUGGUCCCGAGCGUUGUCCGGAUUUAUUGGGCGUAAAGCGAGCGCAGGCGGUUAGAUAAGUCUGAAGUUAAAGGCUGUGGCUUAACCAUAGUACGCUUUGGAAACUGUUUAACUUGAGUGCAAGAGGGGAGAGUGGAAUUCCAUGUGUAGCGGUGAAAUGCGUAGAUAUAUGGAGGAACACCGGUGGCGAAAGCGGCUCUCUGGCUUGUAACUGACGCUGAGGCUCGAAAGCGUGGGGAGCAAACAGGAUUAGAUACCCUGGUAGUCAAGGGCGAAUUCGC
rnacentral:rRNA from 1 species